AGUGAACGCUGGCGGUAGGCCUAACACAUGCAAGUCGAACGGCAGCACAGUAAGAGCUUGCUCUUACGGGUGGCGAGUGGCGGACGGGUGAGGAAUACAUCGGAAUCUACUUUUUCGUGGGGGAUAACGUAGGGAAACUUACGCUAAUACCGCAUACGACCUACGGGUGAAAGCAGGGGAUCUUCGGACCUUGCGCGAUUGAAUGAGCCGAUGUCAGAUUAGCUAGUUGGCGGGGUAAAGGCCCACCAAGGCGACGAUCCGUAGCUGGUCUGAGAGGAUGAUCAGCCACACUGGAACUUAGACACGGUCCAGACUCCUACGGGAGGCAGCAGUGGGGAAUAUUGGACAAUGGGCGCAAGCCUGAUCCAGCCAUACCGCGUGGGUGAAGAAGGCCUUCGGGUUGUAAAGCCCUUUUGUUGGGAAAGAAAAGCAGCAGGUUAAUACCCCGCUGUUCUGACGGUACCCAAAGAAUAAGCACCGGCUAACUUCGUG
rnacentral:rRNA from 1 species